CGGGCUAUGGCGCAGUUGGUAGCGCGCUUGCAUGGGGUGCAAGAGGCCGUGGGUUCAAGUCCCGCUAGCCCGACCA
rnacentral:tRNA from 1 species